CAUUUGCAAUGAGACUAUCAGUUCUCGAGGACAACCUCGUCCAGUAACCAAUGUGAUUGGAAUGAUUUAAUACACAACGGGUACCAUAUGUGGAGCAGAAAUUGCUUAUUCUUCCAAAGCACCUGGAAUGUACCCCGGAUUUUGGCGAGGUUCGUGUUGUUCAGUUUUUGGUUUCCUAUGUUGUGUUUUGUGUAUUGUUGUUUGUCUUUUUGUCGUUUAUCUUUUUUUGCCAUGGCAUUGUAAGUUUGUUUUCUACUUAUGAGUUUGAAUAUCUCUUUGGUAUCUUUCGCCUCUCUUUUAAAUGCCAGUUUCAAUUUAUAGAUUUCCAGUGCUUAUAUUAUUGUGCUAAGAAUAAAAUUGUAAUAUACAAGA